rnacentral:rRNA from 1 species
CUAAAUACUCCUGACUGACCGAUAGUGAACCAGUACCGUGAGGGAAAGGCGAAAAGAACCCCGGCGAGGGGAGUGAAAAAGAACCUGAAACCGUGUACGUACAAGCAGUGGGAGCACGCUUAGGCGUGUGACUGCGUACCUUUUGUAUAAUGGGUCAGCGACUUAUAUUCUGUAGCAAGGUUAACCGAAUAGGGGAGCCGAAGGGAAACCGAGUCUUAACUGGGCGUUAAGUUGCAGGGUAUAGACCCGAAACCCGGUGAUCUAGCCAUGGGCAGGUUGAAGGUUGGGUAACACUAACUGGAGGACCGAACCGACUAAUGUUGAAAAAUUAGCGGAUGACUUGUGGCUGGGGGUGAAAGGCCAAUCAAACCGGGAGAUAGCUGGUUCUCCCCGAAAGCUAUUUAGGUAGCGCCUCGUGAAUUCAUCUCCGGGGGUAGAGCACUGUUUCGGCAAGGGGGUCAUCCCGACUUACCAACCCGAUGCAAACUGCGAAUACCGGAGAAUGUUAUCACGGGAGACACACGGCGGGUGCUAACGUCCGUCGUGAAGAGGGAAACAACCCAGACCGCCAGCUAAGGUCCCAAAGUCAUGGUUAAGUGGGAAACGAUGUGGGAAGGCCCAGACAGCCAGGAUGUUGGCUUAGAAGCAGCCAUCAUUUAAAGAAAGCG